rnacentral:lncRNA from 1 species
CUGACAUUUAGAACACUCCUCAAAGACCAUAAGCCAGUGUCCCAACUAGGGACUUGAAGAUGAGUCUACAGAGAUGACCAGAGCGGUGCUGGGUGAACUUCAUUUUCCUUUCCUAGUCAAGAAGGCUUAAGUAAUAGUAUGAGGAAAUACCUGAAGACCCAAACCCUGGUAGAAAAGACACUGCUGUCAUGGCAACAUUCUAAGGUCUCUGUGUCAUCCAGGCUGGAGUCCACUGGUGUGAUCUCAGCUCACUGCAACCUCUACCUCCACGUUCAAGCAAUCCUCCUGCCUUAGCCACUCAAGUACCUGGGAUUACAGCUUUAGCACAUUGAAUAUGUCAUACUACUCUCUCCUGGACUGCAGAGUUUUUGCUGACAAAUCUGCUGACAGCCAUGUUGGAACUCUCUUGAUUGUGGUGAAGCCUAAGAAACACUGUCUAAGCUAAAGGGCCAAGGUCAACAUCAACAGCGAAAGAGGAGACUUUGGGACUUGGAAGUGACUCCUAAAAUAGAGUAUUUUUAAAACUAUGGAACAUAACCUCAAUAACAUUAUUGAGAAUGGCUACUUGGCAAAUAAGGGAACUUUUGCAUCAGAGAUUAUUUAUGAUACAUCACAAUAGCAAUCUUAAAAAUGGAAGCAGAUUCUGAGAGACCUAAAGCACAAAUAAAUGAUAAAGGAUUGCAAGUGUAAAUAUUAGGUUUCUCUAGGAUGAAGAAAUCUCCUUAAAAAAAGGCCUACGUUUCAAAGCCUAGCUGUGCAGGAUGAAUGAAAAUCCAUUUGCCCAAUAAACUAGAAAAUCUAGAAGAAAUGGAUAAAUUCCUUGACACAUACACCCUCCCAAGACUAAACCAGGAAGAAGUUGAAUCUCUGAAUAGACCAAUAACAGGCUCUGAAAUUGUGGCAAUAAUCAAUAGCUUACCAACCAAAAAAAGCCCAGGACCAGAUGGAUUCAUAGCCGAAUUCUACCAGAG